rnacentral:rRNA from 1 species
UACGGUAGGGCGCAAGCGUUAUCCGGAAUUAUUGGGCGUAAAGAGCUCGUAGGCGGUUUGUCGCGUCAUGCUGUGAAAGACCGGGGCUCAACUCCGGUUCUGCAGUGGGUACGGGCAGACUAGAGUGCAGUAGGGGAGACUGGAAUUCCUGGUGGUAGCGGUGAAAUGCGCAGAUAAUCAGGAGGAACACCGGUGGCGAAGGCGGGUCUCUGGGCCGAUACUGACGCUGGAGGUGCGGAAAGCGUGGGGAGCAAACAGG